rnacentral:lncRNA from 1 species
AUCUGACAAGACAUAAAAAAAACAAAUGGAGUAUGGCACAAUGAUGUUUCACAGUAUGUAGGUGAUAAUGCUCUCCAAAUCUAUAAAAAACUACUACAGGAAAAUGUGACUUUGAGCUUCAGAGAAAUGGAAACCAAGUUCUGGAGAAGGGAUUGGCCAUUGGAGAUGUCAAUGACAAACUAUAGCAUUAAUAAUGUGUCCCUAAGCCAUGCAUGUGACCCAGGCCUUUGAUUCUGGCACCUAGAAGAAGGCAGGUCAUCCUGGUCUAUAUAAAGAGCUACAGGACAGCAAGAGUUUUGCAGUGAGAGCCUCUCUCAACAUUUAUUAAUUAAUUGGAUAAUUAAUUAAUACAUGUCUCUCCUUAUCUGCAUAGCCACUCCUUGAUGAUAAAAUGCUCGGUGCCUUUAAUAUAUGGGAGAAAUUUUUCCUAGAGAAGUCAGUAAAGAAAAUGUUGAAAUAGGUGAUAUGAUAUAGAAACGUUUUUGUUACCGGUUUGUGUCUUAGUCAGGGUUUCUAUUCCUGAACAAAACAUCAUGACCAAGAAGCAAGUAGGGGAGGAAAGGGUUUAUUCAGCUUACACUUCUAUACUGUUGUUCAUCACCAAGGAAAUCAGGACUGGAACUCAAGCAGGUCAGGAAGCAGGUCUUGGUGAAGGUGGAGCCUCACCUGCAAUUGACUACCAAGCCCAUAGAUGGUACCACCUACAAGGGGCCCGCCCCUCUUGGUCACUAAUUGAGAAAAUGCGUUACAGCUGGAUCUCAUGGACACAUUUUCUCAACUGAAGCUCCUUUCCCUGUGAUAACUCCAGCUUGUGUCAAGUUGACACACAAAACCAGCCAGUACAAUUGACCCCAUGUCAACUUAACACACAAAUACAUCACUAUAAAGCCUCAACCCUUACUUUCUUAUUCAUCCCCAAGAUAUCAAUAACUUUAAAAGUCCCACAGUCUUUACAUAUUAACAGUCCAAUCCCUUUAAAAUAUCCAAUAUCUUUUAAAAUUUAAUGUCUUUUAAAAAUUCAAAGUCUCUUAACUGUGGGCUCCACUAAAUAUCUUCUUACUUCAAGAGGGAAAAAUAUCAUGGCACAGUCACAAUCAAAAGCAAAAUUAAACUCCAACCAUCCAAUGUCUGGGAUCCACUUACCAUCUUCUAGGCUCAUCCAAGGGCUUGGGUCACUUCUCCAACCCCGCCCUUUUUGCACCCAGUUUAUCUUCUAGGCUCCAGAUGCCUGUACUCCACUGCUGCUGCUUUCUUGGUGGUCAUCUCACAGUACUGGCAUCUCCAAAACACUGCUGUCUUCCACUGUAGCUAGGCUUUACCAACAGCCUCUCAUAAGCUCUCUUCAUGGUGCCAAGCCUUACCUCCUUUGCAUGACCUCUUCAGUCCUGGACAGCUGCUCUUCAUGACACCUUCAUGCCUGGGAAAUUGGUACCAUCUGGUUGAUUUUUUACACAUUACAAGUCCUGCUGCAGCAUGAGGUACAACCUUGGCUAUCUCUAGAACACAGCCUCUGUGUUCUCAGAAAACACUUCCCAGAAGAUGUCACCUCAAUGAUGCUGGUCUCUUCUUAAUCACCAAUAAUUUCUUAGCUCCAGCUAAACAGCAUCAAAAGUCUCAGUAAUGCAAAGGUUUUGCUUUAGUAGUUCUGGUAUCCUGUUAAUCACAGCUGAUUCUUCAGCCUCAUCUAACCAGAAACCACAGAAUCUUCACAAUCAAAAUAGCAUCGGCCCUGAAAAAAAUCUUUAAUCUUCCCUGUGAAAUUUCACAAGCCAGACCUCCAUCUUCUGCACUGUUUUCAACAUUACCUGCCAAACUCCUAUACAACAUCCCACCAAUCUUCUAGCCUAAAGUUCCAAAGUCUUUCCACAGUCCUCCCCAAAACAUGGUCAGGUUGUCACAGGAAUACCCCACUCUUGGUACCAAUUUGUCUUAGUUAGGGUUUCUUUUCCUGGACAAAAUAUUAUGACCAAGAUCAAGUGAAGGAGCAAAGGGUUUAUUCAGCUUACACUUUCUCAACUGAAGCUCCUUUCUCUGUGAUAACUCCAGCUUGUGCCAAGUUGGCACACAAAACUAGCCAGUACAGGUUGCUGUCCACCCUUGUGUGUUAUUGCUCUUAAAUACUUGAUUUGUUUCUGACAACCUGAGCAAAGAUUUCCCACGCGUCCAAAAUCACAGAAGCAAAUGUCAGAGUAUGUGGAGAUUAAAUGGCAACUGCUCACACCAUCAUAUAUUAUAAAGAAGAGAUUUCUAGAAAGGUCAAAGAGACAUGGAAACAAAUACAAUUAUUUUCUGUGAGGAGAGUACAAUCUGUCUUAAAGAAAAACAUUGUACCUCUUGGAUGUAAGACAGUUCACAAGCAGGUCUUAGGCCAUGCUGGCAGUUUCUAUGGGGCUAUAGCAUGGGAUCUAUUUUUCUAUUUGUGGGAUCAUUUCCUAUGAAAUGAUCCCACAAAUAGAAAUAGAAAAUGAUCCUAUUGAGAACAGAUUUUAUGUUGUGGACAUUGUUCAUUUAGGGUUUGAUUGUUGUAUUUUUCGUGAUGGUAUUGUCAUGAUGUUUGCGCUGUAGAUAACACUACUAAAGAUAUUUACAGCAUUAAGUUUGCAGGAGAGUAUUACGCAUUAAUUGAAAUGUUGGUAUUCCCUUCAUAAAGAAUGCAGUGUCCUCAUUGUACAUCUACAUUUGUGAAGGAUAAAAUUUCUCAACAUUCAGCCCUUAGUGGCUAUUGUAUUUGAAUUGUGGUAACCUGUUGUGACUUUUGAUGAAGCUCAACAAAAGACUGGUUACUCUACAUGACAGUUCUGAUGACAAGUGUGGAGAGCCGUGCCUCGAGCAAUCGCUGUGGAGAGCCCGUGCCGUGAGCAAUCGCUGUGGAGAGCAGUGUGUGCAGCGAGCAAUCGCAAUUAUAAGAUGGCCCUGGCCUCCACUGUGCCUAACUAGUAAACAAGCCUUGUACACAGGUGCGAGAGUGAACUCACUCCUAGUCACUGCCCAUUCUCGGGGCAUAAUAGUGGGGUGAUGAGCAAACAACAAAUCAGGAGCUGACACGCCAUAUCAGGUGCUGAAACGCCAUGGCUGAGGGCUAUAUAAGCGACUCCAUUUUCUGCAGUCGGGGUCUUCCAGAGAAGUAAGCAAUAAAGUUUUGCCGCAG